rnacentral:rRNA from 1 species
UACAGGGGGUGCAAACGUUGCUCGGAAUCAUUGGGCGUAAAGCGCACGUAGGCGGUCUGUUAUGUCGGAUGUGAAAGCCCUCGGCUCAACUGGGGAGGGUCACGCGAUACUGCUCGACUCGAAGGCAGGAGAGGGAAGUGGAAUUCCCGGUGUAGUGGUGGAAUGCGUAGAUAUCGGGGGGAAUACCAGUGGCGAAAGCGGCACCCUAGCGUUAGCCUGACGCUCAUGUGCGAAAGCGUGGGGAGCGAACGGG